UACGGAGGGUGCGAGCGUUGUCCGGAAUCACUGGGCGUAAAGGGCGCGUAGGCGGCUCAUGAAGGCUGUGGUGAAAGUCCGGGGCUCAACCUCGGAUCGGCCGUGGCGACUCGUGGGCUGGAGCACUGUAGAGGCGGGUGGAAUUCCCGGCGUAGCGGUGGAAUGCGUAGAGAUCGGGAAGAACACCAGUGGCGAAGGCGGCCCGCUGGGCAGUGGCUGACGCUGAAGCGCGACAGCGUGGGGAGCAAACAGG
rnacentral:rRNA from 1 species